rnacentral:rRNA from 1 species
GACGAACGCUGGCGGCGUGCCUAAUACAUGCAAGUCGAGCGAAUGGAUUAAGAGCUUGCUCUUAUGAAGUUAGCGGCGGACGGGUGAGUAACACGUGGGUAACCUGCCCAUAAGACUGGGAUAACUCCGGGAAACCGGGGCUAAUACCGGAUAACAUUUUGAACCGCAUGGUUCGAAAUUGAAAGGCGGCUUCGGCUGUCACUUAUGGAUGGACCCGCGUCGUAUUAGCUAGUUGGUGAGGUAACGGCUCACCAAGGCAACGAUGCGUAGCCGACCUGAGAGGGUGAUCGGCCACACUGGGACUGAGACACGGCCCAGAAUCCUACGGGAGGCAGCAGUAGGGAAUCUUCCGCAAUGGACGAAAGUCUGACGGAGCAACGCCGCGUGAGUGAUGAAGGCUUUCGGGUCGUAAAACUCUGUUGUUAGGGAAGAACAAGUGCUAGUUGAAUAAGCUGGCACCUUGACGGUACCUAACCAGAAAGCCACGGCUAACUACGUGCCAGCCGCCGCCGUAA